AGGAGGAACAGCCCCAGUGGCGGGGCAGCUCUGGAAACCUGGAUUCUGCUCCGGCAGGAACUCCGUCUGCAGGGCCUGGAGGCUCCGGGGCGGG
rnacentral:pre_miRNA from 1 species